rnacentral:rRNA from 1 species
GACGAACGCUGGCGGCAGGCCUAACACAUGCAAGUGGAGCGACGAACCGGGCUUCGGCCCGGGGCAAAGCCGCGAACGGGUGAGUAACACGUGGGUAACCUGCCCCGAUGACCGGGACAACCCGAGGAAACUCGGGCUAAUACCGGAUGUGCCCUAUGACCGCAAGGUCUAUGGGGAAAGGAAGCUUCGGCCUCCGCAUCGGGAUGGGCCCGCGGCGCAUUAGCUUGUUGGUGAGGUAACGGCUCACCAAGGCGACGAUGCGUAGCUGGUCUGAGAGGACGAUCAGCCACACUGGGACUGAGACACGGCCCAGACUCCUACGGGAGGCAGCAGUGGGGAAUCUUGCGCAAUGCGCGAAAGCGUGACGCAGCCAUGCCGCGUGGGGGAAGACGGCCUUCGGGUUGUAAACCCCUUUCAGUUGGGACGAAGCUCAAGCGGUGAAUAGCCGCGCGGAGUGACGGUACCUUCAGAAGAAGCCCCGGCUAACUACGUGCCAGCAGCCGCAGUAACAC